rnacentral:rRNA from 1 species
UACGUAGGGGGCAAGCGUUGUCCGGAUUUAUUGGGCGUAAAGAGCGUGUAGGCGGCCAUACAGGUCCGUUGUGAAAACUGGAGGCUUAACCUCCAGACGUCGAUGGAAACCGUAUGGCUAGAGUCCGGAAGAGGAGAGUGGAAUUCCUGGUGUAGCGGUGAAAUGCGCAGAUAUCAGGAAGAACACCCGUGGCUAAGGCGGCUCUCUAGUACGGUACUGACGCUGAGACGCGAAAGCGUGGGGAGCGAACAGG